rnacentral:snRNA from 1 species
GGAUGUGAGGGUGAUCUGUCACCCCAUUGAUUAAACGGAUCUGGCUGGCUAGGUGGGUGUCCCCUUCCUCUCUCACGGCUCCAUGUGCAUCCUUCCCUAAGCAGCAGGCUCAGUGAAAGAGGAAAGCAGAAAGGGGAUCAGAGGAAAAUGAUGAGUUAAAAAAUAAAUCAUAUUAUCAAAUACUAGACCUAAAUCCAAACAUUAACGAUUGAAUAUAAAUGGAUUAAAUACCUCUCAAU